GCCAGCAGCCAUAUCCCCCUGCUGCUCUCAGCUGUCAGCCCACCGCAGCUCAGCAGGGUUGAGCCUGGUCAGUACCUGGAUGGGAGACCUCCUGGGAAGCUAUGGUUGCUGCUGGAA
rnacentral:rRNA from 1 species